AUUGAACGCUGGCGGCAGGCCUAACACAUGCAAGUCGAGCGAUCGGCGGACGGGUGCGUAAUGUAUGGGGACUGCCCGUUAGAGGGGGAUCACUACUGGAAACGGUAGCUAAUACCGCAUCCUAUCGGAUAACCCCAAUGGGAUUAGCUAGUAGGCGGGGUAAUGGCUUACCUAGGCGACGAUCCCUAGCUGGUCUGAGAGGAUGAUCAGCCACACUGGGACGGAGACACGGCCCAGACUCCUACGGAGGCAGCAGUGGGGAAUAUUGCACAAUGGGCGCAAGCCUGAUGCAGCCAUGCCGCGUGUAUGAAGAAGGCCCUAGGGUUGUAAAGUACUUUCAGUCGGGAGGCGUUACCGACAGAAGAAGCACCGGCUAACUCCGUGCCAGCAGCCGCGGUAAUUC
rnacentral:rRNA from 1 species